CCUAUUAUGUCCUCAUCUUUUCUUUGAGUUUACCUUGACCCAGAUAGGGGUUUGUUAUGCUCAGCUUCUCUCUUCCCAGCCUCUUUUGCUGUCAAAACUCAAAAUACCUCAGCUCAUCGAUCGAUCUCUUCUGUGUCUUCAAAACCCAAUUUCGUCGCUCCUCCGCCACACGCCCCAAACCCAAAGCAUUCCCAGACCCCAGCUUCUUCAACCUCCUUUCGUACUUGGUAAGCUCCUCAUCAGAACCACUCUCCAGAUCUUCCUUGUUAUUCCUCCUCCCAGCAUAUAUCAUCCCAUUCGAAGUUCCUAUAACCUAGUCAUACAAUCCGGCAAAAACCCCACUGACAUGAGCGGCGCAGGGAACCGAGUAUCCAUCAAUUUCGCGUAAUCACAUCUUCGCAAGCCUACCAAGAACCACUCUAUCACCGCCUCUCUCUCUCUCUCUCAAACCCAGCAGCAAAUUAAGCCGAAAGUUUCUGUCUUCAGCGAAUCAAACUCAUUUUUGUCUGCAUUGGCUCUAGUGAAGAGAUGGAGGAUAAUGAACAUGAUGGAGAUGGUCUGGAAAGACAAGAAAUGGAGGUGUUAAGAAAUGCAAUUGCAUAAAGUCUAAUGAAUGCAUCUACUUAGCAUUUAGUUGCAAAUUUCAAGUGACUUUAAUUUAUUUUGUGUAAUGGUUCCCGUUGAACUAUGGUCGGGAAAUUAAUCCAAAUAUUCUUGACUUAUUUUGUGUAAUAGUCAAACAUAAUAUGCAUAUUGAAGAGUUUAAAGUAAAUAUUUUAUUCGGUCCAACCAAUGGUACAAGAAUAAUACUUGAGAAAUUUUUUUA